rnacentral:rRNA from 1 species
AGCGAACGCUGGCGGCAGGCCUAACACAUGCAAGUCGAACGAAACUGUCGGGGUUAGUGGCGGAGGGGUGAGUAACACGUGGGAACGUGCCCUUAGGUUCGGAAUAACUCAGGGAAACUUGUGUUAAUACCGAAUGUGCUCUUCGGGGGAAAGAUCUAUCGCUUUUAGAGCGGCCCGCGUCUGAUUAGCUGGUUGGUUGGGGUAAUGGCUCAUCAAGGCGUGGAUGAGUAGCUGGGCUGAGAGGAGGAUUAACCACAUCUGGACUGCGACACGGCCCCAACUCGUACGGAAGGGAGCAGAGGGGAAUAUAGCGGGAUGGACGAAGGCAUGACGCAGCCAUGCGCGGUAAAUGAUGAAUGUCGUAGUAUUGCAAUUUUCUUUCACCGGAGGCGUUAAUGACGGUACCCGGUGAAGAAGCCCCGGCUAACUACGUG